rnacentral:rRNA from 1 species
AUUGAACGCUGGCGGCAUGCCUUACACAUGCAAGUCGAACGGCAGCACGGGAGCAAUCCUGGUGGCGAGUGGCGAACGGGUGAGUAAUAUAUCGGAACGUGCCCGGUCGUGGGGGAUAACGUAGCGAAAGCGUACGCUAAUACCGCAUACGAUCUACGGAUGAAAGCGGGGGGAUCGGCAAGACCUCGCGCGAUUGGAGCGGCCGAUAUCAGAUUAGGUAGUUGGUGAGGUAAAGGGCUCACCAAGCCGACGAUCUGUAGCUGGUCUGAGAGGACGACCAGCCACACUGGGACUGAGACACGGCCCAGACUCCUACGGGAGGCAGCAGUGGGGAAUUUUGGGACAAUGGGCGCAAGCCUGAUCCAGCAAUGCCGCGUGCAGGAUGAA